rnacentral:lncRNA from 1 species
UUCACGUAUGUAUUUACAUCCUUAGACACAAGGAAAAACGGUUCUUUGGAAGCACAUCAGCCAAUUCUAUGAGCUGGACAAGCUCCACACUAUUCGGAUGGCCCCGAAGCUUACUGAUAAGCACAUUCUGCUGCCAGCAUUUUCCAAGAUGCGUGUCAGUUUGGCUGCACAGGUGUUCAGCCACACUGUCUCUGCUGGCAUUUCUGCGAUGGUAACAUUGCAGAGACUGCCAGCAGAGGCAAAAGAUACAGCUGACUGUGUAGCCAAAUUAAAUCACCUUUUUGAUGUGCUAAAUUCCAGGUAAUUAUGUAAAAAAAAUAGCACCUUAACUUUACAAACAUACAACUUACUAACUACACCCUAUUAACUACGACCUACCUACCUUGACCCCACUAACUACGACUAUCUACAACUAUACUACUUGCAGAUCAGUCAAGGAUUCUAACCCCUGGCGACGACCCCUAGGCUCAGGAAACCAGGAGAAGGAGAACUUCCUGAGGGAAUGCAUCAGCUGGGUGGCAAGCUGGCAGUUCAGACCAGCCCAGCAGUGAGUCUGAGGACGCUGAUGCUGCUCCUGCUCCUGCUCCUGCCCCUGCCGCUGGCACUUCCUGUGUACCUGUCCCUGAGGCUGCCCCUGCCCCAAGACCACAGGGCGGGGCGAAGAGGAAGAGAGCCAGGGUACCGGAGGGGAAUACAAAUGUCCAGACAGCCAUCCUCCAGGCCCUGCAGAGGCAUAAUUCUGUGCCUACCCCUACCCCGCUUUCUGGGAAUGAGCACUUUGCCAUGGGCCUAGUUCCUUCCCUGGAUAGAUUGCCACCUGAAGUACUGGAGUACGUUAAAUUCCAAAUCCGUAAGGUCAUAUUUGACAAUUCUAAUUUCACCGUUCAUUUGGAACCUAUUUAAGCUUAUUAGCUAGUGGUGGUGACAAUCUCUCCAGGGAAAGAACUAGGCUGAUGUCACUGUUAACUGUUCAUUUGUUAUUGUUCUGUUCUGUUUAUAUUAUUCUAUUUUAUUUUUAUUUUUAUUUUUAUAAUUAUUUUUUAAAUAAAAUAUUUCUU